GUGAAUCAUCAAAUUUUUGAACGCAAAUUGCACUCUCUUCGAAGAGUAUGCCUGUUUGAGGGUCAGCCUCAAAAAAAUCGACAUCGGUGCUGGUUCGCGCUGUCGUUCGUCGGAAAUUGGGUUAUCUUAAAUCUUUGGUUUAAGCGACUUAAUAUUUUCUUUACGAUUCCAUGCGCGUUUCCAAGAUUUAUUUCUUUACACUUUUAAGGUAUCGAUUUUAG
rnacentral:misc_RNA from 1 species